AAUUUGGCAUAGGUACUGGGGUGAAACAGGAAUGGAUUACACUCCUAGUCCCCCUCAAUUAUGCUGUAUAUUGGAUCAGGCAGCCAACUUCAACUGAUCAUCUGGGCAUUGCAGUCAGUCCUCGGGACAGCACCACCACCUCCACCUACGCCAAUGAAGAAUAAUGAAUGUGAUUUCAAAGGGAGUGUGAGCAGCUGGGGAUAGCAUCAUUGCCAGCAAGAUCAACUGGACUGCCUGCUCACAUAAAGCCUAAACACCAGAAAGACCAGCAAAAAAGAAAAGAAAACCCAUUCCAAUCACAGAGGAUUGAGUGAAGAAAGCAUUGUUGAAAGGUGCAUGCCCAUGAUUCCUAUAAGGCUUUGAAAUAAAACUCUAAGAUAUUGUCUUCAAAGAAAAUACUGACAUGAAGUCUCUCCUAUACUUCUGACUGUAUGCUGAGAGAUCCACAUCUAUUCUCCAAUGAUCCCUGACAUUAUCUCCAAUCUUAACAGGUAGACCAGGUGGCCCAAAUCAGUUAAUGGGGAUCACAAGACUGACAGAAGCUGGAAUGCUUGAUAAGGAGAGAAAAACCCUACGCCAAAUAGAUGAAGAUGACCACAGGAGCAGAGAAAGAGCUCAGCUCAGCUCCAUCUUCCUGAUCUCCGAAUGCUGUGAUGAAUGACCUGCAUCAUUUCAUCUCCCAGUGUCGUGAUGAAUGGGAAUGCUAAGCCUUGCAGUUGACUCCGACUUCUCCCACCUGCACUGUGACCUGUAACUUUUUUUGGUUUUGAGUGAAAGCUUCUUUCCUUGCCAGAAAGUGCUUGCUAUUUGUGAAAGAAUAUGUAA